GGUGGCUCAGUGGUAGAGCGCUUGCCUAGCAGGCAUGAAGCCCUGGGUUCGAUUCCUCAGCACCA
rnacentral:tRNA from 1 species